rnacentral:lncRNA from 1 species
UUUUUGAUUCAAUUUGUGAUUUGAAAAAUUAAUUGUGAUUUAAAAGAAAGAUGGGUCUAAAUGGGACUUUUGAAAAUGCGACGAUUUGACCCAAGAAAAAUAGUUCAAAAAGGGUUUUUUAUAUGAAAAAUGGAGUCGCCACUUGGUAUAGAGUUAGGGUGUACCAAGUCACCCAAAAAAGUGAAUUUUUUAAGGAAAAAAGUAAGAAACCCUUUUGAACGACUCCUAGUCCACGUAAACCAAUCAAAAAGGUUCGGGAGUCACAUUUGACGAAGGGGAAGGCAAGGAUAAAUCCAAGGCACCCCUUUGACCUAGCCAAGGCUAGUUGCGUUGAUUUAAUCAAAGAUUUUCUCGUUUUAACCAAAGAAUUUAUUACAUUUGGAUGUACUACAUGAAUGCAAACCCUAGACCUAGGGGUAUUGGGGGAAAUUUCCCUUCAAAGGUUGAGUGGUGCCAAUCACAUUAAUUGUGAAGCCCAAUAACGAUCCUUUGAAGAAGUCACGAAUAAUGCGAGUGGGAUGCAAAUGAAUGGAAUGCAUGUAUACAAUGUGAUGACAUGCGUUUGAAAAAGUAAUAAAAGAUAAGAAUGUGUAAAUGGAAAUGUGCACGUGAGUGGGCAAGGUGCGGUGUGUGAAAUGAUAAUAUGAAGUACAUGUGUGCAAGUGAUGAUAAAAGUGUUUGUGUGCAAGUGAAGGGAUAAAAAGGUGUACGUGUGCAAAUGAGGGGAGAAGUGUUCGUGUGCAAGUGAAGGGAUAAAGGUGUACGUGUGCAAAUGAAGGGAUAAAAGGUGUACG